UUUUGGGUUGGCCAAUCUUUUCUCCCUCGAAAACGAGGCGCAUCAGCACGUGCAACCUUAGCACGUACAUGACUCCCAUCUAUGGUCCCUAAACAAUCUUAAUGUAAACAAAAAUUCAUAACUUUAAUUAAACACAAACUAAAGAAGACAUUACACAUAAUUUCAAGUAAUGUUAUUAUCAACAAACCUUAAAGUAGGGGAAAAAUCGACUGUUGUUAAGAAUGUGUGGUUCUACAACCGUUCCAUUUGGUUGAAUUAAGAAUUCCCCUUCCAACCUUAAAAUUGCACUCAAAAUAUUAUGAAAGUGACGGGAAACUGUUUCUCCAGACCGAUGGAAAAAGAAUGACACACUUCGAUUCUUCACAUUAUGCCCAAUAAUGUGGAGAAAUUUCGCUACUUGUUCUUCCACAGUUGAUCGAUAUGCAUCUUUAACAAGUCCAGUUUCCCGUAUUCGUUCACAUAAUUUAAUGAAAGCUUCCGGUCCCAUGCGAAUAAUGUGACGAGAUUGUUCAGUGUGAACCAAGUACUCCAUCAAUUCUUGUCUGCGACGCUCUUUUUGUGGUUGGGACUGACUGAUACAGUUGCUUGUAGUAGGCAUUGUGCGUAACAAUUUCAAUCCAAAAGCAAUCAUACAAAGAAUCAUGACUGAUGCACCUUGAUUUUUUUUUUAUUUGUUCUUCGAUUUGUGAAAUUAAAUUCAUGUUCGCCGCAACAAGAUCGUCAUAAAUUGCAACUGUUUCCUCAAAGUGUACCAUCUCUGCCUCGUCAUAAUUUCUUUCCGAAUUCAUACCGAACGCGGUUACCGUAUCGGUGUAAAAGUACACCAAUACAGUUACCCUAAAACGUACUUUUAAUUAAUUUUAAUAAAAAAUUAAUAAAAAUUACUAUAUCAUUCAAUAACAUAAUUUAAUCAAACAACAAAUAAAUAUAAACAAAUAAAAUAAAAAAACCUAAAAUUUCUAUUUCUACUUCUAAAAAUAUUCAUUUUAAAUACAUAAAUUUUUUUCUUUGGUAAUAAUUUAUUUACAAUCUAAAAUAAUAUUAACUACAGAUUAUCAAAUUUUAUUUGGAUUAUGUAAAAAUAUUAUUUACAAAUAAAAUAUUAUUUCUUAUAAACAAUUUAAUUUUUAAACACUAAUAACUAUCUACAAUUAUUAUUACAACCAACAUUAAUUUACUUACUCCUUAACAUAAUUAACUAAACUAAAGUCUAAACAAAUUAUAUUACAACCAACAUUAAUUUACUAACGCCUUAACAUAAUAAACUAAAAUAAAUUCUAAACAAAUUAUAUUACAAAACCAUAAUCAUUCAAACAUAAAUAUAAAAGAGAAAUUAAAAAAAAUAACUUUACAUAAAAAUUUAAAAACCUGAAGAUAAGCACUCAAGAACAGCAAUAGGGAUGACUUAUAGGAUGAAGAACACACCUGAAAACAACUUAAAACAAAUUAAGAAACAUUUCUAUUUCACAAAUUUUACAACAUAAUCGAUUAUUCCAUCACUUAUGUACACAGGAUAAUCGAUUAUCAACGUAUGACUUACGAAUCUCUCCAACUACACACUCUAUGCUUCGCUUUCUUUGCUUAUCUGUGAAUGGAGGAACCAACUUCAUGCACCUUCAUCGUUUUAUAAAGAAACCAGGUUCCACACCUACCUCACCCACUUCAUUGAUGACCUUUCAAACUUUCACAUGGUCAAACGAUUCCUGAGCCAAGUCAGGAAUCUGAUGCUUUCAUGUGGCAUGCAUGCAGGGCCACUGUUCUUUUUUAUUCCAGCACAAAAGGAAGGGCAAGAUUGUAAGUUCGUGUGGAUGACUUGGCACUCACAUUCCACAGUGCAACUUUCUCUUCAUCUAAAAGGAGAAGCACAAUUCACUCACCUUUCUCUUUCCUUCCACCCUCAACCGCAACAAUGCAUGGAUCCAAACGGGGUGGUGUUGUGACUUCCGUCGUCGACAACAGUACCACCCCUGGAUGCAAACGGUGCCUUCAUCUGAAAGGAGAAGCACAAUUCACUCACCUUUCUCUUUCCUUCCACCCUCACCCACAACAAUGCAUAGAUCCAAACGGGAUGGUGUUGUGACUUCCGUCGUCGACAACAGUACCACCCCUGAGUCCAAACGAUGCUUUAGUAUCUUGAUAUGCUUUUAGAUGUCAUUCAUAAUAUUGACCUAUUGUCCUUUUCCUAGAAUGAUGAUUAGAAUCAAAUGACUAUGGUAGUUCUACUGCUAACAAUGUACAACUAAUGCCACAGUAAAUAGAAGUAAGACCCAAAUAUUUCUUCUUGAUUCAGUUCUUAAAAGAAGAUUUUACAUAUAGAUUAAUGUGAUAUAAAAUUAAAAUUAAAUAAAACCAAUGUAUAAGAGUUUGGUUUGGAUGAUUUUUACUGUGUUAUAUAAAGUUAUUUUGUAUCAUUAUUAUUAUGGAAUUAUUAAAUAUUUUAUUAUGAAAAUUUGUCAUAAAGAAAUUUAUUGUGAACUAUUUUUUGAUUAGUUAUAUGAACUAUCUUAUUUUAUUCUGUCGCCUUAAGUUCUAAAUAAAUAAUACAUUAGAUAUAAAUAAUAAUUGAUUUAAAAUAUGUAAUUAAUUUAUAUGAUAAUAUUUGAGUAUCUCAACGGGGAAAAGUUUACAAGUCUUUUAAAUUUAAAAUCUAACUUGUGUUACAUGGUUCAACACGAUAUUCCAUUUUAAUUCAUUUGUCAUUAUAAUAUAUUGUGAGUGUUUUGAAAAUAAUUAUAGUUUUUUCUGUCAAACUUUAUAAUAAUUAUUACUCAUGACAUUGAUAUACUUAUUUAAAAGUAAUUACUAUUUGAGAUAAUAUUAAAAUAUCUUAAUAAAGGACUUUUACAGAGCUCAAAACAACAAGACCCUUGGACUUAACGUGAUUUAUUUUUGUUAGUUGAAAAACCAAGUUAAAAGGUAAACCCCAAAAAUAUUUACCCAUCCACGAGUUCCUCCACAUAUAAUGGCACACGCAAAACUGGUUACUCAUGUGUCUAUAAGUGGUUACUUAUGUGACGUUUAUGACCUACCCACUCUUUAUGAAAAAAAAUUCAAUUUUUUUUAAUAUGGGUCAUAUAUUACAUCGGUUAGAUGACUUAACCGAUGUAAUAUGGAUCAUUUUGAGUAAAAAAAAAAAUAUAUUACACCGGUUGUUUCUAAGAAUCAAUGUAAUAUAUUCAUUUUUACCCUAUUUUGAAGCUGGCAUUGCUCAUUCACAUAAUCUCACUCUGUCACGUCAUUGUCACGUCUGCAGUGUUAAAUAUGUGCUAGUGUCAUAGGGGUGUCAAUAUACCAAGACUCUUUUGUUUAACACCCCCUCCCCCAGCACACUGUAGCAAAUGAUUAUAGGGUGACACGGUUUAGUGUAAAAAUUCAGAAUUCAAUCCUUUGGGAGCCGAAUUCUAAAUGUCCUUACCAUUUUAUUUUUCUUCAUAAAACCAAGUGGGAUUUGGUUAUUGGAAAAUUAAAUUCUAUGUUUUUUUUUCUUUUUAUUUUAAAAAACAAGGGAAUAAAAUUUAUAAAUUAAAAAAAAAUUACUCAGAAAAGUAUUUUUUUUAGAAAAAGAUAGAAAAAUGUUUAAUUUUGAAAAAUAAUUCAUUUAGAAAAUUAAUUAUUUUAAGAAAUAAUUAUAUGUUUAAAAAUAUUAAUCUAUAAAACUAAAUAUUUAAAAAAUAUUAUUUAUAAAAAUAAAUAUCUUAAAAAUAAUAAUUAGAAAAGUAAUUAUUUUAAGAAAUAUAUAUUUUUAUUUUUUUAGAGAAAUAUAUUUAUAAAAAUAAUUAUAAAAAAAGUAUAUGUUUUGAAAAAAGUCUUAGAGAAAAAGUAUGUGUUUCAAAAACUAAAUUUUAGAAAAAGAUAUAUUCUGAAAAAUAUUUUGUUAGAAAAAUAUUUUGACAAGUGGUUAUUUAGUUGUGUUAUUAACAUUUAUUUUAUAAAUAACUAAAUAAAUUUUGUAGCUUACAGAAAAUGUAAUGCCUAAUCUAUAAAGUAUGAAAUAUCAAUAUAUUAUUUUUUAGUUAAAAAUAGAGAAUGAGGAAAACUUAGAAGUAAAUAAAAUAAGUAAUUAAAAUGUAAAUGAUAGUUAACAAUUUUGUAAAUAAUAAUAAAAUUCUACCUCAGAUUAAUAACAAAAAUAUUUUUUUUAUUGUUUAAUUAUAUUUGUAACCAAUAAAAAGUGGAUAAACAAAAUUUAUGUUUAAUAAAUAUGAUGGAAGAGAUUAGAAGAUGUAUUUUUGGCAAAUUCCUCCUCCACCUCCAUCCAUUCCCAUUCACCUUCAUUUUUUUUAAUUUCAAUAAUAUCCUAUAAUGGAUAGUGUGAUGUCUUUUUUUUUUUUCAUUUUCCAGUGGUGAUGGUUGCUUGUGAACGUUGGUGGUUGAGGUAAGUUUUAUGUCUUCGUUGCUUAUUUUUUUUCAUUUUUUGGAAGUCAAAAAAUCUAAAAGAAAAUCCAGCGAGGUGCAAAACUAGAGUACAAAACUAAAAAAAAUUAUUUUUGUACUAAGAACGUCAAAUAUAACAAAUUUUCUUAUUAAUCAUCUCACACACACUCAAACAAUAAAAUUGUUCCCUCAAACGUUGUAGCUAGAGAAGAAUGAAAGUUUGCAACUGGAAAAGAAGUAUGAUGGUGCAAUGAUACAAGUUAUUUAUAAACAUGAGGCUAUGCUUCAUUUAGGAUUAUUUAAAGUUUUUAAAAAUGUUAAAACCGACUUUUACCAAUUAAUAUGGAUGUGUAGAAGCAAGGUACAGAGUUAUGUAUUUUUGUACUUUGACUUGGAAAUCUAAAACAUUUAAGUACAAAGUUUUGAUAGUUUGAUGUUUGAUUAAAAUUAAUAAUAAUAUACAUAAGAAUUUAUAUAGAAUUAAAGAAGUAAAUAUAUAUUACUUCCAUAUAGAAAUUAGUAAUAUUUACACUAAUGAUAACUUAGUCAUGAUGUAGUAAUUACAUUUAAAUAAAUCAUCUUGCCUAUUAGACAAAAAUUAAAAACAAAUUAUAAAAUUAUAUGGGUUACGGGGUCAACAACAUAUUAUCGGGUCAGCUCGUAGACCAACUAAUUUUUUAAAUAUGAAUUGUUUAGCAUUUUCUUAGUAAACAAAAAGAAAAUGAAGCAUUGUCGUUCGCAUGAGAACAUGACUAAAAAAAAAUCACCUCAGAAGAUUCACUACACAGAUUAAUUAACAAAUAUAAUUUCAAGAUACAUAUUUAAUUACAACCCAACCCUUUUUACUUUCUUGAAAGGAGCACCUAACCUAAGCUCUAAGUUUUAGAACAGCAUGUCAUUCAGAAAUCUUUUGCUCUAAGAGAUACAAAAUAAUCCUAUGUAUCCUACCACCUUAAAAAGAACUAAGAAAAUAAUUGAAAUACUUGGAAAAUUAUACCACAUGCUCCUGCCAAUCUCCCUUGUUCGGAAUACUUGAAAACCAAGACACUUUUUCCACGAACUCUUCCUCCAAAGUUUAUGCAAGGUUCUCGUAGGACAACUUCAUAACUAAAAGAUCGGUGCAGAUCUCGUACUCUGAAUAUUUGAGCUUUCGUUGGUUGGAGUAGUUCCAAAAUCCAACGAAUGUGCGGUUAUGAUCGUUCGGAAAAGUGCAAAAAUCAACAUACUAGCUUCUUUAUCUUGUAAAACAAUAAAACGUAAAACAGUAUAAAACAAUACUAAAACAAACUAAACUCCACACAUGAAACUCAUGUGUGAUGAAAAAAGGUAUGAAACUAAAAAAUUCUCAAACUGGAGAACUAUAUAUACUAAAAACUUGGCUCCAAAGCUCCAAAUUUCAAAUUUGUUCCGUCCGGUUGACUGGGACGUCUUCGUGCGCGACCUCAACCGUCAGCUAGGGACUCCUUCCCACUGGUUACCUAUGGAUUCCUGCAAAAAGAGGACAAAAGGGCGCCCUAGCGGCCGUUUGCACUCCGACGCUCAAGUCAGCCAGCAAGAAACACCAAAACUGGGCACCUCCGUAUCUGAGCACCGCGUAUGACACUCUGAAGGUGGUAAAAAGAACUGUGUAUUGUGUGUAUAUUCUCGCUCUGGCAAACAACCUCUUUUCCAGUCCCUUGUGCGUAGCCUCACGACUUCGAGCAAGCAACUGGAGUGUAUUCUGGGAAAAUUUGCCAAAACUUCCAACCCCGUUCCCAACAUUCCCGGCGCUAUUUAAACUACCCAAGCAUUUAAAGCGCUUUUAAUCACAAACGUAACGCGCUCAAUUAGGGCGUCUAAUUAGAAAACGUAGCGCAUUUUGGGACGUUUCUACGUGUGAGUCCUCCUGCCUGGGAGUGCUACUGUGCAAGGGGUGACUUUUUGGGUGCCAACUCAUGCCCCCAAUCAUCUAGUCACUCACUUUGAGAGCGUAUCUGCCUUCCUCUCGUACCCUGCACCCGGCUACCCUGGACGUGACCUUCCUCUUGAGUCGUAUCUGUCCCAAAGGCGUCUCUGGGGCGGCAGGGGUACUUCACGAGUCAGGCUGCCCUACACUGGUGUUGUUACUAUGGCCUUGGAGCCACCUUUCUCUUCUCUCUAUCACUCUCCCGGAUCAUCGGGACCUGAGGCCUUCCCACGGCGUCGCUCCCUCCAUGGUCUUUCCUACCCAUGGGUCUCGGGGAACCACACUGUGAUUGCCUUGCUUUAGUAAUGUUUGAUCUGGCGACGCCCUGGUUGGGCGACGCCUUCACCUAGGCAACGCCUUGCCUUGGCGACGCCUCUUCUUGACGACGCUGGCACUUGGCGUCUCUUUACCUAGGCAACGCCUUGUGUUGACUUUGACUCUUGGUGUUGACUUUGACCUUGACUUAGUCAACACCCGGAUACGGGACGGUACAAAAUUUAUACAGGCACAUGUUUUCUGCACCUCUCUGUUUACUGUGUUCAUUGUGUAACUCAAAACGUAAAAAAGUGCUUUUAAGAACACUGUUAGCAAAAAAAGCUUUAAGAAAACUAUCCAUAUUAGGAAAAGAUGUAACAUAAUGUCCUCAACCGAGAUCAUCACAUGACAAAUUUAAAAAACUUAAUCAAUGAUAAUCAUACAGAAAAGAAAUCGAUUAAACUCCUACAACAUAUGUCCAGACCCCAAAAAAACUCGAAAACCGAAAGUUUAUGAAAUUGGAAAGGGGUUAAAAACCCUAAAAAGCUCUGGCCAAAACAUUUUCAUACGCCAAUCAAGAAAAAUCUUAGUGCGAAAGAUAGAGGAAGAAACAGAAACAUUAACCAAAGAACGACAUAAAAUAAAAAACUUAGAAACUAUGUAUCACACUUUCGGUAAAAGACGUAGCAGAAAAUGCAAUGUUUCUUUGCCAAGCGUACAAAAAUAAGGAAAAAAUCUUCUCUCAGUGUGGUUGAAGAUAGUGGAGCCAUUUGUAACAAAAACAUUAGUAUAGAUUAUAGGGUUUACUGUAGUCGACGAGAUGUCCCAGUGCCACCUCCGUUUGGUUCCAUAGUUGCAUGCGGGUGCGAAAGGAGAUGGUGAGAAAGUAGAGGGGGUAGUGGUUCUUGUGAGGAAUGAAGAGAAAGGAGAGAGUAGUGAAGGAAAAGCCACGUCACAAUUGAUUAGUUACCAAUCUACCCUUCGUUUUUUUUUUCAUUUCUUCUUCACGUGGGUGCCUUUAUACAACGACAAAACUGCCACUGCCAUGCACUUUUGCACUGUUUACGCAUGGCAUGAGAUUCCUGACUUUAGUUCAGGAAUCCUUUGACUAGAUAGUGCAUUUGAAUGACAUGAAUGUGGCGGGUGAAGUAGCUGGUUGCCUAUUAAUUGUUGUUUGAGUUGUAUAUAAAACCAAUGCUUUGAAACUUCCGAAUUCCGUCAAAGAAACUCAAAGUAAAGUGGGCUUGGAGAGGUUCCUGAGGCAUCAUAAUAGUAAAGGGUGACUUUUGCAGUGGUUGUUUAAGCAUUGACUUGAUUUUUAUUUUCAAAUAAUCGAUUAUGAAUGAAAAGGAAUGGAGUGAAUAAUCGAUUAUGGUGUAAAAUAUAGUGGAUAAUCAAUUAUCUGGUAUGUGUUUUUGGAGCAUAAUCGAUUAUGUUAGAAUAGUCGAUUAUGUUGGUUUUUUAGGUGUAUAAAUAAUUGAUUAUGUGUCUGAAAUGCUUGGAUAAUCGAUUAUGUUGUUUUUAUAACGCAUUGCUUAAUCGGUUAUGUUAAAGUAUUUUCCAAAAUUUUAAUUUUUGUGUUGCUUAAUUUUUUUUUUCAGGCACAGCUUUGUAGUCUUUUCUUGUAUUAGUAUUCUUCAUCCUAGUUGAUUUGAUCUUCCUUUGCUGGUGUUCAGGUUUUUUUUUUAUUUGUGGUUUAGAUUUAUAUUAUUUUUUUUAUGAUUAUAGUUUUGUAAUUAAAUUUGUUUAGGGUUUAUAGUAGUGAUUUAUGUUAAUAAGUUAGUAAAUUAAUUUUGCCUGUUAAGUUGUUUUUCAUUUAUUAUUGUUUUUUUUUUAGAUUUUAAUUUUAUGCAGAAUUUUUUUAUUUUAAAUAAUAUGUGUAGAUAGUAAUUAUUUUUAUAAGAUUUAAUUAUUUAUAAGAAAAAUAUUUAUUUAUUUAAAAUGAAUAUUUUUAUAAAAUGGAAAUAGAAAUUUGUAAUGUGUAGGGUUUUUUUUUUAUAUUUGACAUAAAUUGUUAAUGUUAUAAUAAUUAAAAAAAAUGAUUUUUUAAUAAUAAAUGUAGAAAGUUAUUAUUUUUGAAAAAUUGAAUUAUUUAUAAAAAAUAGAAUUUUUAUUUAAAAAUAAAUUCUUGACAGAAUGGAAAUAAAAAUUUAUAAUGUUUAGGGUUUUAAUUUUUUUAGAUUUAACAUAAAAAAAUGUAGUAGUAAUUAAAAAAAACAGUAAAAGUUUAGAGAAGAAAUAUGAUUUUUUAAUAAUAAAUGUAGAUAGUUAUUCUUUUUAGCUUGUUGUAUUCUGCAUAACUUUCUUUGUGGGGUCGACAAUGAUGAGUCUUUGUUUAAAGAAGUAGAUCAUGAAUUGUUACAAGAAGAUGUACAACUAACCUCUACCCAUGCUCGUGAUUCUAGGCUAGGGUGUCAUAUUAGAGACACUAUAGCAAACAAAAUGUGGCAAGAUUAUGUAAACAAUUAAUUUGCUUAAAGAAAUAUAUUUUCUCUUUUGUUCCAAUGUUUGUUAUCCUAACUUUAUUUAAGUAAAUCAGAUGGAAUGUUGCUUCAGAUUCAUCAGGUGGUUUGAGAGAGUUCACUAGGUGGACGACAGAGAUGGACCUAAUUAUGCUAAAUGCAAUGAUUGAACAGGUCCGUCGAGGUUGUAGAAUUGACAGAAGUUGGUCCAAUCAAGGAUAUACUAACAUUGUUAUGGCUUUACACGAGACUGGAUUAUCGACGAUUAAGAAAAAUCAUGUAAAAAAUCGUCAAGGACAAGUGGAGGGAAUUACAUGACUUGUUCAGUGGAUUGAGUGAUUUUGCAUGGAACCAAACAUUUUGAAGCGGAGGACGAAGUUUGGAAUGACUUGAUCAAGGUACGAUGAUAAGUAUAUUUUACAACAAAUACAUUUGAUUACAUAUUGGGCAUAAUGUACUAACAUGUCACAUGUAUUGAGGUCAAACCAUCUGCGACAAAAUGGCGUGUGAAUCUCAUUCGCAUUAUAACCUAAUGGAUGAGUUGUGGUCUAAUGAUAGAGCCACAGGAAGUCGGGUCAGGACAACCCAUGACAUCAAUUCACAUCCGGACAUAAAUAAUUUCAGUGUCAACCUUGACGACAAUAAUAUGAAUUAUAUACCCGAGCAACCCAACUUUGAAAAGGCAGAUGACUACGUCCCACGAUCACCUACUCCUCAUAUUCAAUCAAGUGACACUCCUUCUAUGCCUUCUGCGGGCACAUCCUCAUCUUGAGGUUAAAAAAGAAAAGGGCCCACCAUGGACUAAAUUGAUGAAUAUUUUGCUUUGUUAAAUACAAAGCUCCAACAAUGUGUUUCAUCAAUGAACGAUGAAAAUCAGAAUGCCUCUGACUUGGUUGACAUUGCUCGUGCACAAGCAAUCUUAACACAAGAUAUAGCUGCGGAAAUUAGACGAAGAAACGACUUAUAUGUUGAGCAUGUACACCAUCAUCGUACCAGUACUCUGAGUCUAAUAUUUGGGCAAUGCUGGUGGAGCUUAACAUUUAGGAUGAACAGGUCAUGGAUCAAUGCUACGAGUUUUCAUGUGAGCAUAUUGGAAAAGUUAAGCAACUAUUUGGGAUGUCAUCAUAUGAGCGUCGCAUGACAAAGUUGUUUGCAUUUAUGACUAGGCGUUAUAUCUCUGCGUCGGUGUUACCUUCAUGUCUUUCAAUUACAUGUUGUCCUUUGACUUAUUAUGUAAUUUGUUUAUUAUUAGACAAUUAGGAUAAGAACUUUUAAUAUUCUACCUUACGACUUUUAGUAUUGUAUUUUCAUUGGUCAUGUAAUAUUUUCUUUGUGAAGUUGUACUAUUGUGUUUCAUAACUCCUACCAUUAUGUUUAUGGUAUUAUGUUAACUUUUGCUUACUUAUAUAUUGUAGUAAUUGUAUCAUACAUGGCAUCAUCAUCCUAGAAACGUAACAGAACUCAUAAGGGUAAAGCCCCAACAGAAGAUGUUGCAAUUCCUCCUCAGCCAACAACGAGGAUUGAACAAGUUCUUGAUUAUUCAAGAUACUUUAGUACAAGACGUCAAAUGCUGGUGUUUGAAAAAAGGUUUCACGCAAGACCAGUAUUAUUACCAAAAGCUAUGCAUAUUCCUCGGUAAUCAUAUUGCAUUCAAAACAAUAUGAUUAUUUAAAUAAGUAGCAUAAAACCUUAAUAUUAAAUAACAAUUUGUCAAUGUUCAACGUCAAAAAUAACAAUUCAUUAAUGUUCGACAUGAAAAUUAUAAAUAAAAAUAACAAUAACAUAAUGAUAAUACAAUCAAUGACUUUGAUGAUGUCGAAUGUCAUUCAGAGUAUCCUCAAUUCGGUUCAUCCUUUGAUCAAUCAUGCCAAUGCGAAUAUUCAUGUUAUGUAUCCUAGACAAAAUUUGGGUUAACAGUUCGAUUUGAUUGGAGAUUACCGGCUCAGGUUGACCAUCUUGUUCUGACAAUUGAUCCUCUUCAUCAUUUUCUUCGUCUGACUAGUGAGGCCUACCAAGUUGCCAUACGCCAUUGAUCUGGAAUAUAUUUAAUUUUAUCAUACUAUUUUUUUCAAAGUAAUGAUCACAUCCUAACAUCAUUGCUUGUUCAUUCGACAAGUCAAAGCCUCUGUUUUGAAGCGGAUGACGAAGAUUUGUAGUCAACAAAGCAAAAUGUUCAUCAUUUCCGUCCAUGGUGGGCCCUUUUCCUUUUCAUCCUCGAGAUGAGGAUGUGCUCGUAGGCCCCGCAGAAGGCAUAGAAUGAAUGUUUGAGUGAGGGAAUGUCAUUUGAUUGAAUAUGAGGAACAGGUGACCGUGGUACGUAGUCAUUUGCCUCUUCAAAGUUGGGUUGCUAGGGUAAAGAAUCUAUAUUAUUAUCAUCAAGGUUGACAAUAAAAUUACUUAUGUCUGGAGAUAAAUUGAUGUUAUAGGCUGUUCUGACCCAACUUUCGGUGGUUCUGUCAUUAGACCACAACUCUUCCAUUAGAUUAUCAUGGCGAAAGGGAUUGACACUCCAUUUCGUCGGAGAUGGUUUGACCUACAUUAAUGUCACAUAUUAGUACAUUAUGGCCGAAUGUGCAGUGAAAUCUAUUACAUUUAACAUAUACUUAUGAUCGUACAUUGAUCAAGUCAUUCCAAACUUCGUCAUCUGCUUCAAAACAGAGGCUUCAACUUGUCAAAUGAAUAAGCAAUGAUGUUACGACGGAAUCAUUAAUUUGGGAAAAAGAGUAUGACAAAAUUAAAUAUAUUCCAGGUCAAUGGCGUAUGACAACUUGGUAGGCCUCACCAGUCAAACAAAGAAAAUGAUGAAGAGAAUCAAUUGCCAGAACAAGAUGUUGAAGGUGGUCAACUUGAGCCGACAAUCCCCAAUCAAACUGAACUGUUAACCCAAAUUUUGUCUGGGAUACAUAACAUGAAUAUCCGCAUUGACAUGGUUUAUCAAAGGAUGGACCGAAUUGAGGAUACUCUAAAUGACAUUCGACAUCAUCAAAGUCAUUGAUUGUGUUACCAUUAUGUUAUUGUCAUUGUUAUUUUUAUUUAUAAUUUUCAUGUUGAACAUUAAUGAAUUGUUAUUUUUGACGUUGAACAUUGACAAAUUGUUAUUUAAUAUUAAUGUUUUAUGCUACUUAUUUAAAUAAUCAUAUUGUUGUGAAUGCAAUAUGAUUACUGAGAAGUAUGCAUAGCUUUUGGUGAUAAUAUUGGUUUUGCGUGAAACAUUUUUUCAAACACCGGCAUUUGACGUUUUGUACUAAAGUAUCUUGAAUAAUCAAGAACUUGUUCAAUCCUCGUUGUUGGCUGAGGAGAAAUUGCAACAUCUUCUGUUGGAACUUUACCUUUAUGGAUUCUGUUACGUUUCUAGAAUGAUGAUGUCAUGUAUAAUACAAUUACUACAAUAUAUAAGUAAACAAAAGUUAACACAAUACCAUAAACAUAAUGGUAAAUGUUAUGAAACACAAUAAUACAACUUCACAAAGAAAAUAUUACAUGACAAUGAAAAUACAAUACUAAAAGUCCUAAGGUAAAAUAUUAAAAGUUCUUAUCCUAAUUGUCCAAUAAUAAACAAACACAGACAAAUUACAUAAUAAGUCAAAUGAAAUAAAAGGACAACAUGUAAUUGAAAGACAUGAAGGUAACGCCGACGCAGAGAUAUAAUGUCUAGUCAUAAUUGCAAACAACUUUGUCAUGCGACGCUCAUAUGACAUCCCAAAUAGUUGUUGAACUUUUCCAAGAUGCUCACAUAAAAACUCGUAGCAUUGAUCCAUGACCUGUUCAUCCUAAAUGUUAAGUUCCACCAGCAUUGCCCAAAUAUCAGACUCAGAGUACUGGUACGAUGAUGGUGUACAUGCUCAGCAUAUAAGUCAUUUCUUUGUCUAAUAUCCGCAGCUAUAUCUUGUGUUGAGAUUGUUUGUGCACGAGCAAUGUCAACCAAGUCAGAGGCAUUCUAAUUUUCAUCCUUCAUUGAUGAAACACAUUGUUGAAGGUUUGUAUUUAACAAAACAAAAUGUUCAUCAAUUUCGUCCAUGGUGGGCCCUUUUCUUUUUUUAUCCUCGAGAUGAGGAUGUGCCCGCAGAAGGCAUAGAAGGAGUGUCACUUGAUUGAAUAUGAGGAUCAAGUGACCGUGGGACGUAGUCAUGUGCCUCUUCAAAGUUGGGUUGCUCGAGUAUAUAAUUCAUAUUAUUGUCGUCAAGGUUGACACUGAAAUUAUUUAUGUCCGGAUGUGAAUUGAUGUCAUGGGUUGUCCUGACCCGACUUCCUGUGGCUCUAUCAUUAGAUCACAACUCAUCCAUUAGGUUAUAAUUGCGAAUGGGAUUGACACGCCAUUUCGCCGCAAAUGGUUUGGCCUCAAUACAUGUGACAUGUUAGUACAUUAUGCCCAAUGUGCAGUCAAAUGUAUUUGUUGUAAAAUAUACUUAUCAUCGUACCUUGAUCAAGUCAUUCCAAACUUCGUCAUCCGCUUCAAAACGUUUGGUGGUUUGGUUCCAUGCGUAAUCAAUCAAUCCAUCGAACAAGUCAUGUACUUCCCUCCACUUGUCCUGGAGGCUUUUUUGACGAUUUUUUACAUGAUUUUUCUUAAUCGCCGAUAAUGCAGUCUCGUGUAGAGCCAUAACAAUGUUAGUAUAUCCUUGACUAGUACAACUUCUGCCAAUUCUGCAACCUCGACAGACCUCUUCAAUCAUUGCAUUUAACAUAACUAGGUUCAUCUUUGUCGUCCACCUAGUGAACUCUCUCAAACCACCUGAUGAAUCUAGAGCAACAUUCUUCCCGCGAUCCAUUAAUUUACUUAAAUAAAGUUAGGAUGACAAACAUUGGAAGAAAACAGAAAAUAAAUUAUUUCAUCAAAUUAAUUGUUUACAUAAUCUUUCAUUUUGUUUGCUACAGUGUCUUUAAUAUGACACCCUACCCUAUAAUCAUACUCACGAGCAUAAGUAGAGGUUGGUUGUACAUCUUCUUGUAACAAUUCAUGAUCUACUUCUUCAAUCAGAGACUCAUCAUUGUCGACUCCGCAAAAAAAGUUAUGCAGAAUACAACAACCUAAAAAAAAUUUUGUCAUAGUAUCGACAUCAUAAUGUGGCUCAGUCCCACUCCCUAUAAUUGGAAAUCGUUUUUUCAACACCUCAAAUGUUCUCUCAUUUACAUUUCUAAGUGAUGAAUUUCAAUAAUUAAACAACUCUUUAGCAUUUUGUGGCCCUCUUCGCAAAUAUUCUUUCAAAUGGUAUCUAAUCCCGCGAUAAGGUGUUAUUAUAUUUGGUUUUAACACAAAAUCUACAUCACCAAGAUAGUAUUUUCUUACAAAGAUAGUGGAAAGUUGCGUUAUUAUAUACUAUUAUAACCUAUUUAUUGUUGUGCACACCCAAUCUCCUAAAAGUAACCUUCUGGAAUAACCAAAUGAUUGUCUCGUACCAAAGCGUCUUUAAAUAUCCUUGAAUCUGAGGCAGUUCCUUCCCAACUGGUCAGGACAUAUGUGAACUUCAUGUCAAAGUCACAAGCUGCAAAUAUGUUUUGAGUUGGCCAUUCUUUUCUCCCUCCAAAACGAGGUGCAUCAGCACGUGCAACCUUAACACGUACAUGAGUCUUAUCUAUGGCCCCUAAACAAUCAUAAUGUAAACCAAAUUUCAUAAUUUUAAUUAAACACAAAAUAAAUAAAACAUUAUUUCUAAUUAUAAGAUUAAUAAUUUAUGUAAAACCUAAGAAAAAAAAGUAAACAUUAAAAGUUUAUAUUUUCAUUCUGUAAAAAUAUUUUCUAUAAAUAAAUAAAUCUAUUUUUUCUAUAAACAAUUAAAUGUUCAAAAAAUAAAAAUAUCUACACAUAUUUUAUUAAAAUUCAAAUUUCUUCUCUAACUUUUUCUGCCUUUUUUAAUUACUACAAUUUUUUUUAUAAUCUUUUGAAUAAUAAUAUUUUUAAAAUACAUAUUCAUAUCUAUAAUUUCAAUUCAUCUCACACAAAACAAAUAUUGAUAUUUCAUAAAAAAAUUUCUUUCCAAUAUACAAUUACAUAAACAACUUAUCACAAUAAUUAAUUUACUAAUAUAAUUAAUAAAUUUCUCCUAAAUAUUGACAUCUAAAAUUACAAACUAAUUAACAUGAAUAACUACUUUCAAAUAAUUUAAACAAAUUCAAUUCCAAACACAAUUUAAACAUAAAUAAAACAUACAUUUUUUAAAAAAAUCACAUACCUCAAGAGAGCACAACAAAAUCACAAGACAAUGCAACUGUCAGCAAGAUCAAAGUGUGCCUGAAAAAAUAUUCAAAAAAUAAUAAUCAAAAAAUCAAAAAUCUGGAAAAUCAUGAACAUAAUCGAUUAUCACUUUUCUUAAAAGAAGUCACAUAAUCGAUUAUCCAAACAUUUAAUAGGCAUAAUCGACUAUUCUUGAAGUUCAAAGUCUAACAUAAUCGAUUAUGGUAACAAAUAAUCGAUUAUGGUCAAAAUAACAAAGCUCUCAUAAUCGACUAUGAUUGCCAAAAAUUCUUAGAUAACCGAUUAUGUCACGACCAUAAUCGAUUAUCAAUUGUUUUUAACUACAUAAUCGAUUAUGUAGUGCGCUAUUUUGCAAUGAUAAUCGAUUAUGCUUGAAACUAAAAUGAAAAAAAAAAAACCUAACCCCAGGACAAACAUUAAGUACCAAACUCACUCUCUUACCUCCAUGCUUACUGAAGACCAUCUCCAAGCACCCUAUAACAAUGCAACUCUCUGUGUGAAGGCUAGACAGAUGUGGUGUUUGCUUAGCUUCGAAGGCCCUUAUAUAAUCGUGUAUCACAAUUAUGAUGCACCUACUCUCUCACCAACACACUCUUGCAUUCAUAUUCAUUCAAAUUGGUCAAAGAAAUUUCUACAUCGAAGUCAUGAAUCUCAUGCGUACUAACUGGCCAUUGUGGUGUUGUGGUGCGGUGCUUGCAAUAGCUGGUUCCAUGAAAAGUAAAAGGUUACUGUUGUGUAAUGUGAAUAAGGGCACCAUGGUCUUUCAACCAAUCUCAUGUGGUUUUCCAUGCUUUUCACUCUCCUUUCUCUUUAUAUUUCAGAUGACCCUCAAACCACUCUCAUUUCCAUUCACUCUCACACUCACCCUCUCCCUCUCACAGAACCAAACUGGGUGGUCACCCUAUAAUCCGUUCGCGCUAUAGGACCACCCCUUGAUCCAAACACUACAUUAGUGUGAGAGAAAGUGAAAAGUCAAUGAGGGUUAGAUAAAAAGAAGACGUGCCACAUGUCAACCGUAGAGCGAGCCACGUCGUGCAUUUUUUUUUAUUACUUUUGGUUAAAUUGUUUUUUAUUUAUUUCUUGCAAAAUUUCCAUGUGCUGACACAUGGCAAAAGUUGCCCUAGAAGUAUAUUCUACGUGUAUUAUAAAUAGAUUCCUUUAUUGUAUAACACCAUGUCAUUACAUCAACUAAAUAAACUCUAAUUACAAAAAACAAUUGUAAAAAUGUUACCAUUUAACAAAAUUCAUUAGUUCCAUUUCUUUUGAAACAUAUCCAUACAAGGAUUAUACGUAUAUAAAGAACUUAACAUUUAUAAACUACUAUAUAACUUCAGCCAUGCAUAAAGAUAAUAGUCACAAGCCUGAAGGCAUUGCAAAGUUGUCAAAUAGGAUAAAGCAGUACAAACCUAUCAAAUAAAUAGAUGUAACCUGAAAAGAGUAACAAAAUAUAAAGUUGAAAUUAGAAGAUUAAAUAAUGAAGCCUCAAAAUACCAGAACGAACAAAAGAGACAUCCCCAAACAUUCUUAUACCUAGAUUCACCAACCACUGACAACUAGUGCAUCCUUACCUAGAGUCAUUGUGUAGAAUGAGUACUAAUACAGAUUCUAAUGCUCACUUCUCAACUCUCCUAUUUAAGCUAGUUGUAACAACCUACCAAUGCUAGCUAACAAACUAUCCAACUAACUACUCUCUGGUCUUGCCAAUAGAGAUAACUAGUAGUUGAUGAUAGUCCAAAUUUUUAUAUAUCCAUGAAUUAAAGAAGCAGAAUGCACUAGUGACAAUUUUAAGCUAAACAAGCAUAAUAAAAGAUCUCUCAAUGCACCAUACCAGACUACUGAGCUUAAACAAAUUCUCUCAUUAAAACAAGAGGAAAACAAUCAAGAUAAAAUUCAACAGAAUUACUCUAAGCCAACAAAAUAUAGAACUUUUCAUUAAAUGUGGUGUGCUAUCAACAAAAAUAAAUAAACCAAUUUACUGAAAUGAAAAUCACCACUACAUGGAUUUAUAUACUUGAUCCAAAAUCAUUAUGCUAUAAGUCUGGCCAGAAGUCUCACCGUCAAGAACAAUAAAACUCAAUACUAACACAAAAAAGGCUAACAAAAAUCAGCAUUGAAAUAGAAAACUUGAAAGUUAGAACAAUCACCUGCAAAAUCCUUCCAAGAUUAUAUUACACUCUGUUGUUUGAUCAAACUGCUGUAGACAUCUCGCACUAUAGGCAAAUCUGUCUGAAAAUUGACAACAAAUUUCUUCAAAAAAGUAUUUUCAUUUAUGCAAAUAAAGGAACUAAAGGGAAAAUUGUUCUCAA
rnacentral:lncRNA from 1 species